UACGUAGGUGGCAAGCGUUGUUCGGAAUUAUUGGGCGUAAAGGGCGCGUAGGUGGCGACCCAAGUCUGUGGUGAAAGCUCGCCGCUUAACGGCGAGUCGGCCACGGAUACUGGGUGGCUCGAGCACUGUAGGGGCAGAUGGAAUUCCGGGUGUAGCGGUGGAACGCGUAGAGAUCCGGAAGAACACCGGUGGCGAAGGCGGUCUGCUGGGCAGUAGCUGACACUGAGGCGCGACAGCGUGGGGAGCAAACAGG
rnacentral:rRNA from 1 species